AGAGUUUGAUCCUGGCUCAGAACGAACGCUGGCGGCGCGCCUAAUACAUGCAAGUCGAGCGAGGAGACGUAGCAAUACGUUUGUAAAGCGGCGAACGGGUGAGGAAUACAUGGGUAACCUACCCUCGAGUGGGGAAUAACUAACCGAAAGGUUAGCUAAUACCGCAUACGACUCCUGGUCUGCGGAUCGGGAGGGAAAGCGAUACCGUGGGUAUCGCGCUCUUGGAUGGGCUCAUGUCCUAUCAGCUUGUUGGUGAGGUAACGGCUCACCAAGGCUUCGACGGGUAGCUGGUCUGAGAGGACGAUCAGCCACACUGGCACUGCGACACGGGCCAGACUCCUACGGGAGGCAGCAGUAAGGAAUAUUGCGCAAUGGGCGACAGCCUGACGCAGCGACGCCGCGUGGGGGAUGAAGGUCUUCGGAUUGUAAACCCCUUUCGGCAGGGAAGAUGGAACGGGUAACCGUUCGGACGGUACCUGCAGAAGCAGCCACGGCUAACUUCGUGCCAGCAGCCGCGGUAAUACGAAGGUGGCAAGCGUUGUUCGGAUUUACUGGGCGUACAGGGAGCGUAGGCGGUUGGGUAAGCCCUCCGUGAAAUCUCCGGGCCUAACCCGGAAAGUGCGGAGGGGACUGCUCGGCUAGAGGAUGGGAGAGGAGCGCGGAAUUCCCGGUGUAGCGGUGAAAUGCGUAGAGAUCGGGAGGAAGGCCGGUGGCGAAGGCGGCGCUCUGGAACAUUUCUGACGCUGAGGCUCGAAAGCGUGGGGAGCAAACAGGAUUAGAUACCCUGGUAGUCCACGCCU
rnacentral:rRNA from 1 species